UAAACCCAUGCAUGUCUUAGUAGAGCUUAGUUAUUUUGUGAAACCGCGAAUGGCUCAUUAAAUCAGCUGUUGUUUCUUAGUUGAUGGAACGUAGUUUAUUUUGGAUAACUGUGGUAAUUCUAGAGCUAAUACAUGUCUAUAAAAAAAAGUCCCUGAAAUGAUUGUCAGGGUAGCCCUUAUUAGUAUCAUAACCUUCAACAGAAAUUUGUGUUCUGUCAAAAUAAACUAUGAUGACUCUGAAUAAUGAAAAUGCUGAGCGCACACAGUCUUUGUACUAGCGCUGCUACUUUCAAGUGUCUGCCUUAUCAGCUUUCGACUGUAUUCUAUGUGUCUACAGUGGCUAUAACGGGUGACGGGGAAUCUGGGUUCGAUUCCGGAGAGGGAGCCUGAGAAACGGCUACCACAUCCAAGGAAGGCAGCAGGCACGCAAAUUACCCACUCCCGGCACGGGGAGGUAGUGACGAAAAAUAACGAUGCGAGACUCAUCCGAGGCCUCGCAAUCGGAAUGAGUACACUUUAAAUCCUUUAACAAGUAUCCAUUGGAGGGCAAGUCUGGUGCCAGCAGCCGCGGUAAUUCCAGCUCCAAUAGCAUAUAUUAAUGUUGUUGCGGUUAAAAAGCUCGUAGUUGAAUUUCAGUUGUGGGCUGAUGGUAUUUCACCAUAUGGUGUUUGCUAUCAUGCUCUAAAACUGCCUAUACAACUCCAAAGUUGUUGGGCUCCACCAGCUCGCAUGGGAUGCUCUUGACCGAGUGUCCUAAGUGGCUGGUAUGUUUACUUUGAAAAAAUUAGAGUGCUCAGAGCAGGCUAUUUGUAUUGCCUGAAUGUCUAUGCAUGGAAUAAUGUAAAAGGACCUCGAUUCUAUUUUGGAAGGAUUUCUUUGGAAUCUGAGGUAAUGAUUAAGAGAGACAAACGGGGGCAUUUGUACUGUGGCGCUAGAGGUGAAAUUCUUGGACCGUCACAAGACAAACAACGGUGAAAGCAUUUGCCAAGGAUGUUUUCAUUAGUCAAGAACGAAAGUUAGAGGUUCGAAGGCGAUCAGAUACCGCCCUAGUUCUAACCAUAAACGAUGCUAACCAGCAAUCCGCCGGUGUUAUUCCCAUGACCCGGCGGGCAGCUUCCGGGAAACCAAAGUCUUUGAGUUUCGGGGGAAGUAUGGUUGCAAAGCUGAAACUUAAAGGAAUUGACGGAAGGGCACCACCAGGAGUGGAGCCUGCGGCUUAAUUUGACUCAACACGGGAAACCUCACCAGGCCCAGACACUGGAAGGAUUGACAGAAUGAGAGCUCUUUCUCGAUUCAGUGGGUGGUGGUGCAUGGCCGUUCUUAGUUGGU
rnacentral:rRNA from 1 species